rnacentral:misc_RNA from 1 species
AAGUCGUAACAAGGUAUCCGUAGGUGAACCUGCGGAUGGAUCAUUAACACGUAUCCACGUAUCUACACCCUGGUCACUUGUUUCUCUCCCGCCCUGUCGACUCACAUGAAUUGGAAGGUGCGUCCCUACUUGGAAGAAAUUUUUUUUUUCUUUGCUAACAAUUGUAGUGUUGCGACAGGCUAUUUUCCAAUAAAACAAUUUUCACCACUUUUGCGAGUUGAUUUUUUUCAGUAUCUGUCUAUUUUUUCUGGUUGUGUUCUCCGUAAUUCAGUUUACGUGAGAGAUGACUCGUUUCGAAAGGAACGAAAAAAUGAAAAAAGAAAAUAUAUUACAACACCUUUACAACUCUUAGCAAUGGAUAUCUUGGUUCUC